UGUUUGGGUUCACGGUUCAGAUGUCGUCUUUGCCCCCCGGUCAGAUUCGGAUCAAACAUUUCCGGUUUCCUGUGGGUCUCAGCUGUCCGUUAAUAGGUUCAGUUCCGGGUUUUUUCGGAUUCAGGCAUACAAUUUUGUAAUGGGCGGACAACAGGCCUCAGCAAUGUGUGAGGCCAUUUCAUAACGAUGAGAAAACUUCCCCUCUGGGCUUCCGUAAUUGUCGUUGCUGGACAAAAUCAGACAAUAAAUUGAGAAAUAUAGAAAAACCCCAAUAAUAUUAUCCUGUAUGUGUAUUUGUCCAGUGUUUUUUAAAUAUAAUUGACCUAAUGUAACUCCAAUGAUAACCUCAAAUCCCCUUUAAAUCGUAGCGUUAAACCUUUUAUUUGUGGUAUGGACUGUCUGACAGCAGUACUAAUAUAUUCUCUUGUGUUUAUCCAAUAAAAAUAUGUUCGUUCAUGUUAACCUCACACGUUUUACAUCAUCUGUGUGUAUAAACUACAGCGUCUCAAAGGCGGGACAGGCUGCAGUACUGCCAGGAUCCACUUGAGGGCAUCGUCACGCCCUUCAGGCAGAUCCGGUGCACCUGAGGCUUUUGGCGGCCAACGUGUUGUCUUCUUCCUCGUCAUCAAGCUGGAAAACACUAAAGCAGCAUUAAGGUAAACGCUGUCUUUCUGCUCUAAUCAUACGCUGUGACGUGUUUCGGGAGCUGAUUGCUGUAGUCUGUCAGGACUGUGGAUCCCGGACGACCCUCGUCCCUGAGGCGCUGCGGGCAGCAGUUCCACAUCCAAGCCGGCCGACCGGAGACGUAACACCAGAACACCAGGAUGCGAACUCCACCCAGCUGGCCCAGCCGGGGAUCGAACCCAGAAGCUUCGUGCUGCGGGUCGCCGCGGAGCCUCACAGAGGUAACAUCAACACCUGUCAACAAUACUUUGACUACAGUCUCCGUGUUUGUGUCCUGACUGGAAUCCGAUGGCCCCAACGCCCUCCGCGGGAUCGACAAACAGCGCCUGGGAAAUGGAGCCGUGCAGCUCGUGAGCCGCCUUCAGAUCCGGCCAAAAGUCCCGCAAAAAGUCCUGAAAAACAAAGACGCAUUUCAGGAAAAGAUGAAACAAAAAGUGUGUCACGUACCUGGACGGAGAUGACGUACACUCCUGAAUUGAGGCUGCUGUACUGAGCCACAGCAUCCUGGUCCUCUGUGAUCAUCACGACAUCCAUCAGACCUGCCAGGUAAAGACGGGCAUCUGCCGACCGAACGUUUUCAUCUCAUCUGCAGAAAGUUUAACCUGUGCAGCAGAUACCACAGCAGAUCUGAUUUUUUUUUUGCAGUUGGAAAUCAAUAAAAAUAAAUCAAAGCAUC